rnacentral:rRNA from 1 species
GACAGGGGGUGCAAACGUUGUUCGGAUUUACUGGGCGUAAAGCGCGUGUAGGCGGCUUUGCAAGUCGGAUGUGAAAUCCCACGGCUCAACCGUGGAAGUGCAUCCGAAACUGCAUCGCUCGAGUCUCGGAGAGGAAGGUGGAAUGCUUGGUGUAGAGGUGAAAUUCGUAGAUAUCAAGCGGAACACCGGUGGCGAAGGCGGGUCUCUGGGCCUUACCUGACGCUGAGGAGCGAAAGCGUGGGUAGCGAACAGG